rnacentral:rRNA from 1 species
CUACCCUGGGGUGAGGAAUACCAGCGAGAAAUCGUUGACAAUUCCGCAUAGGCUCUCGUUUCCGCAAGGAGGGAGAGCAAAGCCUGGUUCGUGAGAGCGAGCGAGGUGCCCUGGGAGGAGCCUGCGUCCGAUUAGCUAGUUGGGGGGUGACGGCCUCCCAAGGCGACGAUCGGUAGCUGGUCUGAGAGGACGAUCAGCCACACUGGGAUUGAGAACGGCCCAG